rnacentral:lncRNA from 1 species
UGGAAUCACCUGAUUUGAAUGUGGGAUAACUUCUUCUUGCCAACUCCUAUGAGAUUUAUUCAACUUCCUGGUGAUUCUCUGUUGAGAUGUGCUGAGGUAUUUGAGAAGGCAUUGAGGAGUUAAGGAAAUGAGGAAGCAAAGGACUGAAAGGGAAGAGAGAAUUGAGCAAUGGCACGGACGGAUCAUCCGUACACUGACCGUACAAGGUAAAAGGGAGGAUGGUAACUUCACCGAGUAACCACAUGAACUGAGGUGAAGUUACACUCGACCAAAAGCUUAUCCAGACGUUGGAG